UGGAAACAGGGAGUGCCUUCGGGAGCCUCUACAGGUGUUGCAUGGCUGUCGUCAGCUCGUGUCGUGAGAUGUUCGGUUAAGUCCGCUAACGAGCGCAACCCUCGCUGUGUGUUACAAGUGUCACACGGUACUGCCGGUAUUAAAGUCGGAGGAAGGUGGGGAUGACGUCAAGUCAGCAUGACCUUUAUAUCCAGGGCUACACACACGCUACAAUGGUCAGUACAAUAGGUUGCCAAGCCGCGAGGCGGAGCCAAUCCUAAAAAGCUGGCCUCAGUUCAGAUUGCAGUCUGCAACUCGACUGCAUGAAGUUGGAGUUGCUAGUAACCGCAGGUCAGCUAUACUGCGGUGAAUACGUUCCCGGGGAUU
rnacentral:rRNA from 1 species